CUUCUACCUGUUGAGACCACACUGCUGAGCAGACCAACAACCGUAAGCAGAUCAGAACCAGCCAGCCCAGCGGACAGUGGCAGACCAUUCAACCAGUGGGUUGAACAACGGCUUUGUUUUCCUCAAAGGAAACCAAGCCAGGAGAGGAGGAACGAGGAAAUGUUUGAGACAUGAGACGUCCUUUCCUCCGAAGCGUCAGGUGUUCUGGGCUCCUUCCAGCUGUCUCUUGUAGAGGCUUUCUAUGUGGCUGAUCUGCUCCUUUUGUCUCUGGAUCUCCUCCUGGAACUCAUUCUUCUUCAUCUCAGCUACUCCACGCUCCGCUGCUCCACGUCGCACCAGGCCUUCCAACUCAUACAGCUUAGUCUGUAUCACACAAACAAAGACAAAUGGGUUAAGCCAUCUGAACAAAGACGGCGAAGAGGGAAAGCACAGGGUGCGUGCUGAAGAAGGUGCACUCGGACCAGACUACUGCUGCUGAGAGGAGACACAGGAGAACUGCCAGCAGCCUGUAGAAACCCCGUCUGAACACACACUCCCAGUACCACUCUGAGAAGGACACACACCCCCACAAACAAACACACCUAUGCAUGAGUACAAAAUGUUGGAGGAACAAUCAAAGUCCAAAUCUACACAUAAAACAUACCGCAUACAUGGAUUAUUUUUUAUUAUACCUUUAUUUUACCAUGCAAGUUAAUUAAGAACAGUUUCUCAUUUACAAUAACGGCCUGGCUGGAGACAAAGGCCUCCUGUGAGAAAGGGUACUGGGAUUAAAUAAAAACAUGAAACAAUAGACAGAGGAUGCAGGACAACAACACAGUCCCAACAACCAACCUUAAAACCGGGCACAAGGACACGAAGAGACCAGAUGAGAAAAUAAUGAAAAGAUAGAUAAAGAAACAUAACAGAUAAUCUACAGAGAGUAGACAAUACAAAAAAUGGCAAAAUGGUUGAAUAAUGAAAACAAUCUAGAUAGUAUACAUAUAACAACAACAAAUAACAUCACAUGAAGCAUUUACAGUUUUGUAAACAAGUUUGUGAUUUGCCUUUAAAAGUGGCAGUGGUGACUAGAGUGGACAGUUUUAUUGUUUUUUGUAGUUGGCUCCAAUCGUUGGGUGCAGCGAACUGAAAGGUAGUGCGACCUAAUGAUGUGUUAGCUGAAGGGAUUUGUAGCCGAGUUUCACUUGAAGAGCGGGUGCUGUAGGUGACGGAAGAAGGAUGAAGUAGACAUCCCAAAUACUGAGGGGUUAGGCCAAAGAGAGUUUUGUAAAUUAGCAUAAACCACUGGAUCUUACGUCAACUAUGAAGUAAGUGAGUUUAUGGAGGUGUAUAAAUUGCAGUGGUGUGUCCUGUAAGGAGCAUUGGUGGCAAAUCUGAUAGCUGAGUGAUAAAGAACAUCUAGCCGCUCGAGAAGCCCCUUACCUGCACACAUGUAAAUUACAUCACCAAAGUGUAGUAUGGGUUAUAUAGUCACCUGAAUCAGGGUGAGUUUAGCAGAUGGGGUGAAUGAUGACUGAUUACGGUAGAGAAACCCCAAUCUGGCCAUUUAAUGUACGUGGAUUCAUACACACACACACAAACAAUUGUUGUUAUGGUGUUGGUAUUUUCUGUUUUUUCCUGUUUAUUUAUCACAUCUAGAUUCUGUUUUCUUGGUUAUGUAUUGUUUGUACUUGGUUAAAUCAGUCCUCCUGUGUUUUUGAAUGCUUUACCUCCUGUUUAAUUUUGAAGUUGUCCAAGUUAGUUGUUGCUGGUCCUUUUGGAUUUCCCGCUCAGUUUCUGGAUUUAUGCUCUUACAUUUAGAUUCUGCCUUUAUUGGACAUCUGCCAUGCUUUCAUGUUAGCCUGUUUAUUAGUUCUUGUCAGCUUGAAGAUGAAAUCUGCUGAAGUUAAACUGAUUUCAACCUUUGGUCACCGGAGCUUAGAGUAAAGCUUUCUGUUGAAGCAGGCAGUUAGAGACAUUUAUCUGGCAAACUGGGUCUACAUUCAUACUUAUUAGAAGACCAGAAAUGGAAAAAAAUUGCAGCACUCAGGAUCACACUAGCAGGCUAUUAAAAGUGAAGUCAAGUAAAUCAAGUCUCAAAGAAUGGAAAUAUCUCAAUCGGAAGUACCUUAAUUUUGUAAGAAGUAAAAUAUUUUCCAUGUGUACAUUUCAGAUUGUGGUACUCACCCACAGCAGGAGAGUAGAACCUAUGCAUCCAGCUGUUGUGGUGUGCUGUGGGGAAGCUGUGGGUGAAGUGUCGCACCGGGCUGCUUUGACUUUUAGCGACAUCUUCUAGAUGAAAGGCCUCGUCUAACAAGAUAGACCAUUGAACCUGAGUCUGACCGUGUCUCUGCACCACAGAGAUUACCUGAAAGGAAAAUACAGGCAGCACGGGAAAAUAAUUAUUCAUGUCAUAUUUUUUUAAUUGUUUCCUUUACAAUCACUGUGCAAUGUUAAGAAUAAUAAUUACCUUUUUAUGAAGCUUAACUAGGUGUCUUUUGGUGGGAAGGACAUCCUGUUCACCAGAAGAGCAUUCCACAUUUCUUCUCAUCUCUUCCUGGUACUCAGUGGGACACUGAAAUGAGAUGCCACACAAAUGAGGACAGUCCCACACACACACCUGCCUG